CAGUCGGUUGCAAGCUUCAAUA
rnacentral:miRNA from 14 species